GGUUAAGUGACUAAGCGUACACGGUGGAUGCCUUGGCAGUCAGAGGCGAUGAAAGACGUAGUAACUUGCGAUAAGCCCAGAUUAGGUAGUAACAACCAUUUGAGUCUGGGAUUUCUGAAUGGGGAAACCCACGUGCAUAAGCACGUAUCCUUACCUGAAUACAUAGGGUAAGGAGGCGAACCGGGGGAACUGAAACAUCUAAGUACCCCGAGGAAAAGAAAUCAACCGAGAUUCCGAAAGUAGCGGCGAGCGAAAUUGGACUAGCCCUUAAGCUUUACACGCGUUAGACGAACGGUCUGGAAAGUCCGACGAUACAGGGUGAUAGUCCCGUAGUUGACGACGUGUGUUCAGUGAAAUCGAGUAGGGCGGGACACGUGAUAUCCUGUCUGAAUAUGGGGGGACCAUCCUCCAAGGCUAAAUACUACUGACUGACCGAUAGUGAACCAGUACCGUGAGGGAAAGGCGAAAAGAACCCCUGUGAGGGGAGUGAAAUAGAACCUGAAACCGUGUACGUACAAGCAGUAGGAGCAGGCUUUGUCCUGUGACUGCGUACCUUUUGUAUAAUGGGUCAGCGACUUAUAUUCAGUGGCAAGGUUAACCAUCUAGGGGAGCCGUAGGGAAACCGAGUCUUAACUGGGCGUUCAGUCUCUGGAUAUAGACCCGAAACCAGGUGAUCUAGCCAUGGGCAGGUUGAAGGUUGAGUAACAUCAACUGGAGGACCGAACCGACUAAUGUUGAAAAAUUAGCGGAUGACUUGUGGCUAGGGGUGAAAGGCCAAUCAAACCUGGAGAUAGCUGGUUCUCCCCGAAAGCUAUUUAGGUAGCGCCUCGGACGAAUACUACUGGGGGUAGAGCACUGUUAAGGCUAGGGGGUCAUCCCGACUUACCAACCCUUUGCAAACUCCGAAUACCAGUAAGUACUAUCCGGGAGACACACGGCGGGUGCUAACGUCCGUCGUGGAGAGGGAAACAACCCAGACCGCCAGCUAAGGUCCCAAAUUACUACUAAGUGGGAAACGAUGUGGGAAGGCUCAGACAGCCAGGAUGUUGGCUUAGAAGCAGCCAUCAUUUAAAGAAAGCGUAAUAGCUCACUGGUCGAGUCGGCCUGCGCGGAAGAUGUAACGGGGCUAAGUAGUAAACCGAAGCUGCGGCAAUAUACUUUUGUAUAUUGGGUAGGGGAGCGUUCUGUAAGCGGUUGAAGGUGUGUGGUAACGCAUGCUGGACGUAUCAGAAGUGCGAAUGCUGACAUGAGUAA
rnacentral:rRNA from 1 species